rnacentral:tRNA from 1 species
GGGGGUGUUAUAUGAGAACCUAAAACACACGGACAAACACGGUGCUUCCCAAGCACGAUGUUGCGAGUUCGAGCCUCGUCGCCCGCU